rnacentral:rRNA from 1 species
CCUACGGGAGUCAGCAGUGAGGAAUAUUUGUCAAUGGACGAGAGUCUGAACCAGCCAAGCCGCGUGAAGGAUGACUGCCCUAUGGGUUGUAAACUUCUUUUAUGAAGGAAUAAAACGAGGCACGUGUGCCUUUUUGCGUGUACUUUAUGAAUAAGGAUCGGCUGACUCCGUUCCAGCAGCCGCGGUAAUACGGAGUCCCCGAGCGUUAUGCGGAUUUAUUGGGUUUAAAGGGAGCGUAGAGGGGUUGUUAAGUCCGUUGUCAAAGUUUGCGGCUCAACCGACAGACUGCAAUUGAUACUGGCAGUCUUGAGUAAAGUAGAGGUAAGCGGAAUUCGUGGUGUAGCAGUGAAAUGCUUAGAUAUCGCGAAGAACACCGAUUGCGAAGGCAGCUUACUAAACUGUGACUGACAUUGAUGCACGAAAGCGUGGGUAUCAAACAGGAUUAGAUACCCUUGUAGUC